UCAUCAGCAUGAACACCACCACCAUUAUUAUUACCGGCACCAUGGUUGCUGGGGUGGGCUGAUGCACGACGAAUAAGAAUCGCACAAAAAAAGCCCACACCCCUCCAAGGUGUGGGCUUUUUUUUA
rfam:Photobacterium ganghwense strain DSM 22954 contig0016, whole genome shotgun sequence.